rnacentral:rRNA from 1 species
UUGAGAACGGCUCCACAUCCAGGUAGGCAGCAGGCACGCAAAUUACCCACUCCCGGCACGGGGAGGUAGUGACAAUAAAUAACGAUACGGGACUCUUAUGAGGCCCCGUAAUCGGAAUGAGUACACUUUAAAUCCUUUAACAAGGAUCCAUUGAAGGGCAAGUCUGGUGCCAGCAGCCGCGGUAAUUCCAGCUUCAAUAGCCGUAUAUUAAAGUUGUUGCGGUUAAAAAGCUCGUAGUUGGUUCUGCGUGCCACGCUGUCGGUUCGCCGCCUGCCGGUGUAACUGGCAUGUCGUGGCAUGUCCUGUCGGUGGCGUUCGGGAGCCUUGUCUAGGCGACGGCCCUUGCCAAAAGCUUGGUGUCCGGAGGCCGGGGGUCCACCCGUUCGCCUACUCUAUCCUACCUAGGUGCUCUUUACCGAGUGUCGAGGUAGGCCGACACGUUUACUUUGAACAAAUUAGAGUGCUCAAAGCAGGCUAAAAUCUCUGCCUGAAUAGUGGUGCAUGGAAUAAUAAAACAGGACCUUGGUUCUAUUUUGUUGGUUCUUAGGAACACAAGGUAAUGAUCAAUACGGACAGGCGGGGGCAUUCGUAUUGCGACGUUAGACUUGGCAAAUGCUUUCGCGGUGAAAUUCUUGGAUCGUCGCAAGACGCACAAGAGCGAAAGCAUUUGCCAAGUAUGUCUUGAUUGAUCAAGAACGAAAGUUAGAGGUUCGAAGGCGAUCAGAUACCGCCCUAGUUCUAACCAUAAACGAUGCCAGCCAGCGAUCCGCCGAUGUUCCUCCGAUGACUCGGCGGGGAGCUUCUUCCCGGGAAACCAAAGCUUUUGGGUUCCGGGGGAAGUAUGGUUGCAAAGCUGAAACUUAAAGGAAUUGACGGAAGGGCACCACCAGGAGUGGAGCCUGCGGCUUAAUUUGACUCAACACGGGAAACCUCACCAGGCCAGGACAUUGGAAGGAUUGACAGAUUGAUAGCUCUUUCUUGAUUCAGUGGGUAGUGGUGCAUGGCCGUUCUUAGUUGGUGGAUCGAUUUGUCUGGUUAAUUCCGAUAACGAACGAGACUCUAGCCUAUUAACUAGGCGUUUACCGGUGUCCCCGCCACCGGCGACAAUCAUUCUUCUUAAGGGGACAGGCGGCUUAUAGCCGCACGAGAUUGAGCAAUAACAGGUCUGUGAUGCCCUUAGAUGUCCUGGGCCGCACGCGCGCUACACUGAAGGAAUCAGCGUGUGCCUCCCUGGCCGAAAGGCCCGGGUAAUCCGCUGAACCUCCUGCGUGCUAGGAAUUGGGGCUUGCAAUUGUUCCCCAUGAACGAGGAAUUCCCAGUAAGCGCGAGUCAUAAGCUCGCGUUGAUUACGUCCCUGCCCUUUGUACACACCGCCCGUCGCUACUACCGAUUGAAUGAUUUAGUGAGGUCUUCGGACUGGCGGUAAUCCCUUCCGACUUGUCGGUAGCGAUGAACGCUGGAAAGAUGACCAAACUUGAUCAUUUAGAGGAAGUAAAAGUCGUAACAAGGUUC